rnacentral:rRNA from 1 species
UAUGAACGCUGGCGGCGUGCCUAAUACAUGCAAGUCGAGCGAACAGACUAGGAGCUUGCUCCUCUGACUUUAUCGGCGUACGGGUGAGUAACACGUGGAUAACCUACCUAUAAGACUGGGUUAACUUCUGUAAACCGGAGCUAAUACCGGUUAAUAUAUUUAACCGCAUGGUUCAAUAGUCAAAGACGGUUUUGCUGUCACUUAUCGAUUGAUCCGCGCCGCAUUAGCUAGUUGGUAAGGUAACGGCUUACCAAGGCAACGAUGGGUAGCCGACCUGAGAGGGAAGAAGGCCGAGUAAGAAAAGAGACAAGGUGCAGACUAGUAAGAAAGGCAGAAGUAGGGAGACUAACACAAGGGGGAAAAGCGAGACAGAUCAAAGGCGGGUGAGUGAUGAAGGUCCUCGGAUCGUAAAACUCUGUUAUUAAAGAAGAACAAAUGAGUAAGUAACUAUGAAAGUCUUGAAGGUACCUAAUCAGAAAGAAACGGCUAACUAAGUG